rnacentral:rRNA from 1 species
CUGGGAUUAGAUACCCCACUAUGCUUAACCGUAAACAUCGUUAUAAAUAGAACUACCUUAAAAUACCGCCCGAAUACUACAAGCGCUAGCUUAAAAUCCAAAGGACUUGGCGGUGCUCCAAACCCACCUAGAGGAGCCUGUUCUAUAACCGAUAAUCCGCGUUUAACCUCACCACUUCUUGCCCUUCCCGCCUAUAUACCGCCGUCGUCAGCUCACCCUAUGAAGGCACAACAGUAAGCAUAAUAACCUUUACCCUCAAUACGUCAGGUCGAGGUGUAGCGAAUGAAGUGGGAAGAAAUGGGCUACAUUAUCUUUCUAGAAUACACGGACAGAAGCAUGAAAAACUUCUUAAAGGUGGAUUUAGCAGUAAGUAAAUUUUAGAACAUUAUACUGAAACCGGCUCUGGAGCGCGCACACACCGCCCGUCACUCU